rnacentral:rRNA from 1 species
AUUGAACGCUGGCGGCAGGCCUAACACAUGCAAGUCGAGCGGAUGAAGGGAGCUUGCUCCUGGAUUCAGCGGCGGACGGGUGAGUAAUGCCUAGGAAUCUGCCUGGUAGUGGGGGAUAACGUCCGGAAACGGGCGCUAAUACCGCAUACGUCCUGAGGGAGAAAGUGGGGGAUCUUCGGACCUCACGCUAUCAGAUGAGCCUAGGUCGGAUUAGCUAGUUGGUGGGGUAAAGGCCUACCAAGGCGACGAUCCGUAACUGGUCUGAGAGGAUGAUCAGUCACACUGGAACGGAGACACGGUCCAGACUCCUACGGGAGGCAGCAGUGGGGAAUAUUGGACAGUGGGCGAAAGCCUGAUCCAGCCAUGCCGCGUGUGUGAAGAAGGUCUUCGGAUUGUAAAGCACUUUAAGGUGGGAGGAAGGGCAGUAAGUUAAUACCUUGCGGUCUUGACGUUACCAACAGAAUAAGCACCGGCUAACUUCGUG